rnacentral:rRNA from 1 species
UAGGGAACCCGGGUGGAAGCCUGGGGUGCCCCGGCAGGGGAGCCCUAGCACAGGUGCUGCAUGGCCGUCGUCAGCUCGUGCCGUGAGGUGUUGGGUUAAGUCCCGCAACGAGCGCAACCCCCGCCGUUAGUGCCAGCGGUUCGGCCGGGCACUCUAACGGGACUGCCCGCGAAAGCGGGAGGAAGGAGGGGACGACGUCUGGUCAGCAUGGCCCUUACGGCCUGGGCGACACACGUGCUACAAUGCCCACUACAAAGCGAUGCCACCCGGCAACGGGGAGCUAAUCGCAAAAGGUGGGCCCAGUUCGGAUUGGGGUCUGCAACCCGACCCCAUGAAGCCGGAAUCGCUAGUAAUCGCGGAUCAGCCAUGCCGCGGUGAAUACGUUCCCGGGCCUU